rnacentral:rRNA from 1 species
UACGUAGGGGGCAAGCGUUGUCCGGAAUCAUUGGGCGUAAAGCGCGUGUAGGCGGUCCGGUAAGUCCGCUGUGAAAGUCGGGGGCUCAACCCUCGAAUGCCGGUGGAUACUGUCGGGCUAGAGUGCGGAAGAGGCGAGUGGAAUUCCUGGUGUAGCGGUGAGAUGCGCAGAUAUCAGGAGGAACACCUAUUGCGAAGGCAGCUCGCUGGGACGUAACUGACGCUGAGACGCGAAAGCGUGGGGAGCAAACAGG